UUCCAGACUCCUACGGGAGGCAGCAGUGGGGAAUAUUGCACAACGGGGGAAACCCUGAUGCAGCGACGCCGCGUGAGUGAAGAAGUAUUUCGGUAUGUAAAGCUCUAUCAGCAGGGAAGAAAAUGACGGUACCUGACUAAGAAGCCCCGGCUAACUACGUGCCAGCAGCCGCGGUAAUACGUAGGGGGCAAGCGUUAUCCGGAUUUACUGGGUGUAAAGGGAGCGUAGACGGCAUGGCAAGUCAGAUGUGAAAGCCCGGGGCUCAACCCCGGGACUGCAUUUGAAACUGUCAGGCUGGAGUGCAGGAGAGGUAAGUGGAAUUCCUAGUGUAGCGGUGAAAUGCGUAGGUAUUAGGAGGAACACCAGUGGCGAAGGCGGCUUACUGGACUGUAACUGACGUUGAGGCUCGAAAGCGUGGGGAGCAAACAGGAUUAGAUACCCGUGUAA
rnacentral:rRNA from 1 species